rnacentral:rRNA from 1 species
GCUUACGACCAUAUCACGUUGAAUACACGCCAUCCCGUCCGAUCUGGCAGGUUAAGCAACGUUGAGUCCAGUUAGUAC